GACGAACGCUGGCGGCGUGCUUAACACAUGCAAGUCGAACGGAAAGGCCCUGCUUUUGUGGGGUGCUCGAGUGGCGAACGGGUGAGUAACACGUGAGUAACCUGCCCUUGACUUUGGGAUAACUUCAGGAAACUGGGGCUAAUACCGGAUAGGAGCUCCUGCUGCAUGGUGGGGGUUGGAAAGUUUCGGCGGUUGGGGAUGGACUCGCGGCUUAUCAGCUUGUUGGUGGGGUAGUGGCUUACCAAGGCUUUGACGGGUAGCCGGCUUGAGAGGGUGACCGGCCACAUUGGGACUGAGAUACGGCCCAGACUCCUACGGGAGGCAGCAGUGGGGAAUAUUGCACAAUGGGCGGAAGCCUGAUGCAGCAACGCCGCGUGCGGGAUGACGGCCUUCGGGUUGUAAACCGCUUUCGCCUGUGACGAAGCGUGAGUGACGGUAAUGGGUAAAGAAGCACCGGCUAACAACGUG
rnacentral:rRNA from 1 species